UGCCAAAAAGAAGCUUGAUUCAUGAAUGAAAAAAAUAUUGGCCUAACAAACAGAUGUGGUUGGAAAUAAAAAAUCUGGGAAAGACUUCCAAAUUAGAUCUGAUGAGAGAAAAAAAGGAGUGGCCUUCUAAUGCUGUUUACUAUCUCAAAUGGAUGAAUCUAUAGUUUAAAGACAAAAGAAAAUCACAGUUUUUUUAUAAUUCGUGUUUAAAUAGAAAUUCGGAUUUUAAAAAGAAAAGCUGUGUCUUUAAUCUUAAAAAAAACAAAAUGUAAUGUGGUGCCCAGAAUCCUUGAUCGUGAAGAUAACAACAAAUUUUCGAAUAAAAAAAAAGAGAGGGUAUAAUCGCCACAAAAAAAGAAAGGAAAUGUAAAAUGGAAAGUUUAACAUUCAAAAAAUCCCGACCCCACCGCUUCAAGAAAUCCGUUAGGCGCAUAAAAGUCUUGGCCUUCUCUCUUGACACUAAACUGAAACUCAGAAUAUCUUCGCCCUUUCUCUGCCCCAAAAAUAAACCCCCAAAAUCUCCAAAUCCUUUCAGAGAAAUUCAAACUUUACGCUUUUUUGCAGGGCAAGGAUAAUCCAAAAGAUUGAAGAUGGUAAUUUAGUGAAAUAGGCAAAAACAGUGAAAGAAAGGUCAAACUUAGUGGAAGAAGUAGAGUAGAACCGGAGAAGAAGAAGGCAUUGAUUGAAACGAUGUCAGCUUUGUCGGAAAACGCAGAUUCGCCAUUGAAGAAGAAGCCACCGAGCUGGUCAGACAUUUGGCUCAGAAACACCAAGCCGUUGAAGCAUGUGGUGUUCACUAUGCCCCUUCAGUCUUUAUCUCCGAAAGACCCCAAAUCCCAAUCCAUAAUCCCAACUUUCGCCAACAUUGAUCGAACCCUUCUCUUGUCCGACGAGCUCCUCCUACAAAUCCUUUCAAAGCUGCCGCAUUUGCAACGGAACCCUAACUCCCUCGUCUGCAAGCGGUGGCUCAAUCUCCAAGGCCGCCUUAUACGGUCCUUAAAGAUCCUGGAUUGGGAUUUUCUUGAAUCUGGGCGGUUAUUCACGAGGUUUCCCAACUUGACCCACGUGGAUUUGCUCAACGGCUGUUUGUUGUCGCCGCGAGAUUCUGGGAUUCUGUUGACUCAUCGGCUGGUUUCUAUGCAAAUGGGUUCUGGAUUUUGUUCAAAUCGCAAGUUUCUGGAAGAAGAUCUAUUGCCUGUCGAAGCUGUUGACAAAGGGCUGCAAGCACUUGCCAAUGGCUGUCCAAAUCUUCGAAGGCUUGUGGUGAUUAACGCCAGUGAGUUGGGGCUGCUAACGGUGGCCGAAGAAUGUUUGACUGUGCAAGAAUUGGAGUUACAUAAGUGCAACGACAACGUUUUACGUGGGAUUGCGGCGUGUGAGAAUUUGCAAAUCGUGAAACUCGUUGCCAACGUUGAUGGACUCUAUAGUUCGUCGGUUACCGACAUUGGUUUAACCAUCGUAGCUCAAGGGUGUAAAAGGUUGGUUAGGCUUGAGCUUAGUGGAUGCGAAGGGAGUUUUGAUGGGAUUAAAGCGAUUGGGCAAUGCUGUUUGAUGCUUGAAGAAUUGACUAUUUGUGAUCAUAAAAUGGAUGAUGGAUGGUUGGCUGGGUUGUCUUACUGUGAGAACUUGAAGACUUUGAAGUUACUGUCUUGUAAGAGAAUUGAUCGGAGUCCGGGCCGCGAUGAGUAUUUGGGGUUUUGUCCUGCUCUCGAACGGUUGCAUUUGCAGAAAUGUCAGUUGCGGAGCAAGAAGAGUGUGAGAGCACUGUUUAGAGUAUGCGAAGCUGUGAGAGAGAUUGUUAUUCAGGACUGCUGGGGAUUGAAUAAUGAUAUGUUCAGGUUUGCAAGUGUUUGCAGUUCCUUAGUGCCUGUUAACAUGGCCUGAAAUAAAGGGGAAAAAAGGGUUGCUUUCUGUCGCAAUGAUGAGUCUCUGUCUGGCCAUUGAUUUUGAAAUGCUGAGCAAUGCAAUGAAGUUCAAAUCAUGGUGAACAAUUGUUGAUUGUUCUAGUAAUAAGUUAUCCGUAACACACCGGAGAGUGAAGCUGCUAUCUUUAGAAGGAUGCUUGUUGUUGACAACUGAAGGUCUGGAAGCGGUGAUUCUUUCAUGGCAGGACCUUGAAAAUCUUAUAGUGGUAUCAUGCAAGAACAUAAAUG